GGACAUUAUGAGAGUGAGAUUAUAUCCCCGUUUAUCCGAUAAGAAAAACAGAACUCGGUCCGAUUUGAGACUCCAUCUAGAAUGACACUUGAGGUCAUAUCCUGAUGGAUUGAGACAUUUGGACCAACCGUGAGUGAUCAACCAUUGGAGCAAACUAUGGAGCUUGACUAGCUCCUUGGAAUUGGUGUUGGUUUUGGAGUAAAGUAUUGUUGACAUUGGUGGUGAACUAAGGUUGCUGAAGCUUUGAGGUAAGGAUGCGGCAGGAGCCACCAGUGGCAAGUGACCAUAUUUGGAUUAGCAUAUGCAUGAGGAUCCUAUAUUUUGAUAUUAUACAUGUUGUUUUGUAGCUCACAUG